rnacentral:rRNA from 1 species
AGCGAACGCUGGCGGCAGGCUUAACACAUGCAAGUCGAACGGGUCCCGGAUCUAGGUCCGGGAUCAGUGGCAGACGGGUGAGUAACACGUGGGAACGUGCCCAUCGGUUCGGAACAACUCCGGGAAACUGGAGCUAAUACCGGAUACGACCGAGAGGUGAAAGAUUUAUCGCCGAUGGAUCGGCCCGCGUCUGAUUAGCUAGUUGGUGAGGUAACGGCUCACCAAGGCGACGAUCAGUAGCUGGUCUGAGAGGAUGAUCAGCCACACUGGGACUGAGACACGGCCCAGACUCCUACGGGAGGCAGCAGUGGGGAAUAUUGGACAAUGGGCGAAAGCCUGAUCCAAGCCAUGCCGCGUGAGUGAUGAAGGCCUUAGGGUU